GCGGGAGUAGCUCAGUUGGUAGAGCACGACCUUGCCAAGGUCGGGGUCGCGAGUUCGAAUCUCGUUUCCCGCU
rnacentral:tRNA from 1 species